ACGAGUGGAUUAGGGUCUAUAAUGCUAACGUUGUGACAGAAUAUAAAGAAAUCAAUUUGCAUAUAAUAUGCCCAACAGAAAGUAGCAGUCACAUGACAAUUCUGAUCCGGAAAGUCUCUAGCUAGUUUUAUACAUGUAUACGACAAUGAUUAAGGUUUCAAGUACACAUGGCCACUUGAGCCAGAGGUGACGGUUUCCGGUUUCCGUAAUGAAAUACAAGUAAAAAGAGUAAUGGUCCAAAGACAAGGCCACUUGAUGACUUCAUCAUUGUAAAUAUACCAAAAAAAGGUAAAGGUGUGCUGGCAAAAAAUAUAUACCAAAAGGGGACACUGUGCUGGAGUAUUGUGGUGUCAUAAGGACAGAUGAACCACAUCAAAGUGAGGAUGACACAUAUAUUUUUGAAUGUGUCUUCAAAGGCAAACAGUACUGGUUAGAUGCAACGCAUGAUGAUGGAUCACUGGGCCGUCUGAUAAAUGAUGACAGGAAGCCAAACCUGAAACCAAAGAUGGUUCCGAUUUGUGGAGAGCCCCAUAUUUUCUUCUAUGCCAUCAGAGAUAUACAUCCAAGGGAGGAAUUGUUAUACUGCUAUGGAAAUGGUCCAUAUCCCUGGAGAAAUACUACAAAUGUAAAGGACUCUCCAAAUGAUCUUGUAUCCAGUAUACAGAAGGAUAGUAUACCUGUGACAGAAACUGAUGAUACUGCUACAUACAGUUCCAAUGAACCAGCAUCUGACAUUUCUGUGUCAAUGGUCAACAUCCCUGCAUCUGCAACUGAUGCCAGCAAACCAGAUAAUGACUUUUGUUUUUGUUGUUCUAAUAAUGAGACGGAUUCAAUUUACGGAAAUAAUUUCAUUUUUUCCCCCAAUUUUUGACAUGUUUUGUUCUUAUCUUUGUCAGAUGGUAAUACAGUGUAACUUGUCUAAACCGGCCCCUGUGUAAACCGGAUCUCUCUGUAUUCCAGCCAAAAUGUUUGGUCCCAGCAAUGGAAAAUGUAAGCAAUGUUGACCUCUACAAACCGGACACCUGGGUAAACCGGCCAAAAAGUUUGGUCCUGAUGACAUCCGGUUUAGACAAGUUACACUGUAUAUUGCAUCUAUUUGUGGUGCUUGUAUUCGAUUUGAAAGAAAUAAUAAUAAAAA